rnacentral:rRNA from 1 species
GACGGAGGAUGCAAGCGUUAUCCGGAAUUAUUGGGCGUAAAGCGUCCACAGGUGGCAGUUCAAGUCUGCUGUCAAAGACCGGGGCUUAACUUCGGAAAGGCAGUGGAAACUGAACAGCUAGAGUAUGGUAGGGGCAGAGGGAAUUCCUGGUGUAGCGGUGAAAUGCGCAGAUAUCAGGAGGAACACCAACGGCGAAGGCAGCUUGCUGGGACGGUACUGACGCUGAGGCGCGAAAGCGUGGGGAGCGAACAGG